GCCUUCGUGGUGUAACUGUAGCACAAUUGUUGAGUAUUCGAGAGGUCCAGGUUCGAGUCCCGGCGAAGGCA
rnacentral:tRNA from 1 species